CCCGUAAUAACUUUGAGUUUUAAUCUUGCGACCGUACUCCCCAGGCGGUCAACUUCACGCGUUAGCUACGUUACUAAGUCAAUGAAGACCCAACAACUAGUUGACAUCGUUUAGGGCGUGGACUACCAGGGUAUCUAAUCCUGUUUGCUCCCCACGCUUUCGUGCAUGAGCGUCAGUAUUGGCCCAGGGGGCUGCCUUCGCCAUCGGUAUUCCUCCACAUCUCUACGCAUUUCACUGCUACACGUGGAAUUCUACCCCCCUCUGCCAUACUCUAGCCCGCCAGUCACAAAUGCAGUUCCCAGGUUAAGCCCGGGGAUUUCACAUCUGUCUUAAAGAACCGCCUGCGCACGCUUUACGCCCAGUAAUUCCGAUUAACGCUCGCACCCUACGUAUUACCGCGGCUGCUGGCACA
rnacentral:rRNA from 1 species